UCAUUUCAACUUAGUAUUUCCGUUUGUACCACUCUCAAUCUUCUAUGUUAUCAGAAAAUUAAUGGCCAAGUUUGCUGUUUUGGUUGGUAUCUGCUAUCUAGACACUAAGGGUGCACUCAAAGGCUGCUAUAAUGAUGUCAAAAUAAUGCAAGAACUGUUGACAUCUAGGCACGGGUUCAGCCCGAGAAUCUGCAAAUUCUCACCGAUGAGCCUGGCUCCGCUUUGCUGCCCACUGGUGCGAACAUAAAAAAAAAGCACUCUAUCAGAUGAUUGAGAGAGCAAAGGGCGGUGACAUUUUGUUGUUCUUUUUCAGGGGCCACGGAACAUUUCAAGAUUUUUGGGAAGGCUCAGACUCCAAAAGAGAGGAAGCAAUUGUCCCCUGCGACUGCAAUCUCAGUUACAAUGAGUGUGGACUUUCUUGAUAUGGUAAAUCACAUGCCAGAACGUGCUGAUUUCGUUCUAGUGGCGGACUCCUGCAAUAGUGGGGGGGGGCUAGUUGAUCAGUUGAAGGAGCAAGUUGGACCUGGCCUUCUUCCAGAUGUUUGCUACUCCCCAAAGUCCAACGACACAUCCCUCGUAGCCAAAGUAAUGCCCAUCACAGAAAUUAUGCAGCAUUUGAAACCUUUGACGGGCUUAAACAGCCCGGAUGUGAGGGCACAUUUGCUAAACGUCUUCGGAACUGAUGCCAGCCUGAAGUUUUGAGUGCCAGCUGAUGCUGAAGUGGUGAAGUCGUCCGACGUUGACGAAGGCAUUCUUUUCAGUGGAUGCCAGUUCAAUGAAAACUCAUAUGAUGAUGGAAGUGGUCCUCGUCCUCAUGGCAGGUUUAGUAGUGCACUUUCCGACUCCUUGAACGAGCAACGUGGUCUGAUCACCAAUCAGCAGCUGGUGGAGGCAUGUAGAGCUAAAUUACCAUGGCAGCAUCCAUGUCUCUUCUGCUCUGUCGACAAUGUUAAUGCACCUUUCCUGCGCAGUGGCUGAAUCAAGGCGCUGCUAGCUACUAGGGAAUCCCAACCGACCUAUAGUUGGUCUAUUGUGACAGUGAAAUAUUACUACAAUCUUCUAUAAACGAUACUAAACUAAUGUACCAUAAUAUAUAUCCGAGCACACAUUACAGCGUGGGAGGAGCUGUGGAUACGUUUGUAACCCUUAGUCACUUAUUACUAUAGAGCAACAAUAUGGAGAAGGGAUUCUCCUUUAUAAUUUGACUAGUCUUGUCCUUAAGGAUUCUACAUCA